rnacentral:rRNA from 1 species
GGGGAAUAUUGCACAAUGGACGGAAGUCUGAUGCAGCAACGCCGCGUGGAGGAUGACACAUUUCGGUGCGUAAACUCCUUUUAUAUAAGAAGAUAAUGACGGUAUUAUAUGAAUAAGCACCGGCUAACUCCGUGCCAGCAGCCGCGGUAAUACGGGGGGUGCAAGCGUUACUCGGAAUCACUGGGCGUAAAGAGCAUGUAGGCGGAUUGAUAAGUUUGAAGUGAAAUCCUAUAGCUUAACUAUAGAACUGCUUUGAAAACUCCUAAUCUAGAAUGUGGGAGAGGUAGAUGGAAUUUCUGGUGUAGGGGUAAAAUCCGUAGAGAUCAGAAGGAAUACCGAUUGCGAAGGCGAUCUACUGGAACAUUAUUGACGCUGAGAUGCGAAAGCGUGGGGAGCAAAC